rnacentral:rRNA from 1 species
UACGUAGGGGGCAAGCGUUGUCCGGAAUCAUUGGGCGUAAAGCGCGUGUAGGCGGUUCGGUAAGUCUGCUGUGAAAGUCCAGGGCUCAACCCUGGGAUGCCGGUGGAUACUGUCGGGCUCGAGUCCGGAAGAGGCGAGUGGAAUUCCUGGUGUAGCGGUGGAAUGCGCAGAUAUCAGGAGGAACACCGAUGGCGAAGGCAGCUCGCUGGGACGGUACUGACGCUGAGGCGCGAAAGCGUGGGGAGCGAACAGG